UACGGGGGGAGCAAGCGUUGUUCGGAAUUACUGGGCGUAAAGCGCGUGUAGGCGGCUAUGUAAGUCGGGCGUGAAAUCCCACGGCUCAACCGUGGAAGUGCACCCGAAACUGCGUAGCUAGAGUCCUGGAGAGGAAGGUGGAAUGCUUGGUGUAGAGGUGAAAUUCGUAGAUAUCAAGCGGAACACCGGUGGCGAAGGCGGCCUUCUGGACAGUGACUGACGCUGAGACGCGAAAGCGUGGGGAGCAAACAGG
rnacentral:rRNA from 1 species